rnacentral:lncRNA from 1 species
CAACUACAGCCUGCCGAGUAAGGAUAGCUCAGGGCUGGGGCGCGGUGGCUCACACCUAUAAUCCCAGCACUUUGGGAGGCCGAGGUGGGUGGAUCACCUGAGGUCAGGAGUUCAAGACCAGCCUGGCCAACAUGGCGAAACCCCAACUCUACUAAAAAUACGAAAAUUAGCCGGAUGUGGUGGCACACACCUGUAAUCCCAGCUACUCAGGAGGCUGAGGCAGGAGAAUCGCUUGAACCCAGGAGGCGGAGGUUCCAGCGAGCCAAGAUCACACCACUGCACUCCAGCCUGGGCAAUAGCCAUUGUUGGCAUUGGGAUUUGAAGCCACAUCUUUUGAUUCUGAGAUCACUGCCUCGUUUAUACUUAACUGUAAGUUGUUGAUUGUGUUCUCUUUUUAUUUACUUUGAGCUUGGCUGUGUCUCUUUAGUUUUAGAGAGUGAACUUUUUUCCCUCAUAAAUUUAAAUGCUGACAUAAGGAGGAAAAAUCCUGCUGUAAUUGAACAAAAGGAUGUUUACAACCUUCUUUGAGUCAUAGAGCUCCUGGCACAUGAAAUUUAUGACUGCAAGGAAAGGGGAAAUAAAAAGAAGGGGGAAGACCAAGACAGAUGUAACUGUGGAAAUGGUGUGCUAAUGUAUGGGUUGACAUUCUGACACUUGCACAUUCAGUUGGGUAACUUUUUGGAGGCCAUUUCACCAGCUAAUGAAGAUUUACUUAAUAAACUCUCAAACUUGCCAGAGCUAGACUCUUUAAAACAACCCUAUAAAUUACAAAGAUGGUGGCAUGUUCAAGAGACCUUGCAGUUGUUAAAGGAUGGAAUGCAGUUGCCAGAGUUACAAAGGUCAUUGUCUAGGAAUCUUGUGCCCGUCUCUGGAGGGCUGAGGGACCUUUCAAAGGACUGGCUCCGAUGUGUGCACCCUAUCCAGAUAAAUGCAUACAGAUGUUCUUUGAACUUGAUCAACUCGCUUCUCAGCAUGAAUGCAAAAUUGAUUGGGCCAAAUCAGAGCUCGUGCCAGUGAAGGCUGGCUGCAUACAGAAAUAAAAUCAGCCACCUCCCAUUUACUUAGAAGUCUCUGGCUUAAAAUACAUUGGAGGAAAAUGUGCGCUUCACGUUAGAGCAGGAGCCAAAUUGCACAGCGACAAAAUUAUUCCCAUCAUCAUGACAGCCUCAGCCAAUCGUUUCCUUUUUUAAUGUGCUGAAAGGAGGCAAGUUGGCAUCAUUAAAAGUAUUUUUUUCUCAAAAAUACAUCAUGAAAUAUGGAGAAACUAGAAACAGAAGAAGGGGGCCCACGCAUAAAUCUAAUUCUGAGACCGGACUAUGGAGAUUUUCUGUUCUGGUUGCACUACGAAGGUUCUAAGGAAAGAGGUUGUAUUUUUUGCCUCCCGCCUCUCUUGAUGGCCUGAGGUUGAUGUGGAUGUAGAUUUUUUUUCCUUUAAUUCAGCUCCCGUUUUUCAAGCAGUGCCCCUUUCACUGAAUGAUUAUCCCCAGUAACCUUUGAUCUUCACUCUUCCUUGAUGAAAAACUGCAACUAUAUCAUGUCUUUUUGAUGUGGUCUUUCUUAAGUACUGAGUCAAGGUGAUCAUUGAUCCUGCACGCCUUCAUUUCCUCUUCCCAAAUGAGUCCAGUGUUCCCUUCACCCUUCCUUCUGUCUUUUAUUACCUAACGAAGUUCUAGAAGCCAAGCCAGGAUGCUCUGAUGUGAAAACUGCCUAAAAGGGAAAGGUUAACCCUGAAGCCAGUGCUCAGCCAGCCUGUCUGAGAGAUCCCUGUUCCUGAGCCAUAAAGCGAUGCUUCUUCAUACCCAUUUUUGUCCUUCAGCUUCUUUCUGUGGAGAAAAAAAUUUUUUCUCUAAUUCAGACCCAGCAAAUUGGUGUGCUCCUAACUUAGUCUCAGAAAUUCUGAUUUCCAGAUGUCUUAU